rfam:Equus caballus chromosome 5, whole genome shotgun sequence.
AGAAAUGAAUAUGAUCUGCCUGUGACAUCUUAGCCUAUUGAUCACCAGGGGUGAUAUAGCUCAUCAGCCUGGCUUAAUAGGCAUCCCUUUUCUUCUUCAUCAUUUUACAUGUGUUGUACUAAAGCUGCAAUUGUCAAUCAAUUUCCAAAUAAAGAUAAACCACUGUUAAAGAAAGGCUACAUGAAGAGAGGGGUUCUCUUGCUAGAGGCUCCAAACAAACAGACUUUAUUUCUAGAUCUGUUACUUGAUUCAACAAAUUUGAGACUGUAGUUUUUAUU